rnacentral:rRNA from 1 species
UACGGAGAGUUUGAUCCUGGCUCAGGACGAACGCUGGCGGUGUGCUUAACACAUGCAAGUGGAGCGACGAACCAGAGCUUGCUCUGGGGCAGAGCCGCGAACGGGUGAGUAACACGUGGGUAACGUACCCCGAUGACCGGGACAACCCGAGGAAACUCGGGCUAAUACCGGAUGUGCUCCUGGUCCAUGAGGACCUUGAGUAAAGGAAGCUUCGGCCUCCGCAUCGGGAGCGGCCCGCGGCCCAUUAGCUUGUUGGUGGGGUAAUGGCCUACCAAGGCAACGAUGGGUAGCUGGUCUGAGAGGACGAUCAGCCACACUGGGACUGAGACACGGCCCAGACUCCUACGGGAGGCAGCAG